AAACCAACAGGGAUUGCCUUAGUAGCGGCGAGUGAAGCGGCAAAAGCUCAAAUUUGAAAUCUGGCUCUUUCAGAAUCCGAGUUGUAAUUUGAAGAAGGUAUCUUUGGGUCUGGCUCUUGUCUAUGUUUCUUGGAACAGAACGUCACAGAGGGUGAGAAUCCCGUGCGAUGAGAUGAUCCAGGCCUAUGUAAAGUUCCUUCGAAGAGUCGAGUUGUUUGGGAAUGCAGCUCUAAGUGGGUGGUAAAUUCCAUCUAAAGCUAAAUAUUGGCGAGAGACCGAUAGCGAACAAGUACAGUGAUGGAAAGAUGAAAAGAACUUUGAAAAGAGAGUGAAAAAGUACGUGAAAUUGUUGAAAGGGAAGGGCUUGAGAUCAGACUUGGUAUUUUGUAUGUUACUUCUUCGGGGGUGGCCUCUACAGUUUAUCGGGCCAGCAUCAGUUUGGGCGGUAGGAGAAUUGCGUUGGAAUGUGGCACGGCUUCGGUUGUGUGUUAUAGCCUUCGUCGAGACUGCCAGCCUAGACUGAGGACUGCGGUUUAUACCUAGGAUGUUGGCAUAAUGAUCUUAAGUCGC
rnacentral:rRNA from 1 species